AAGUAAAGGAAAUAAUGACCCACCUACGUAUGUAGGCUAUCCCGCCCAGCAGUCUGAACCGUUUUACUCCGAGCUGAUAAUUGGCGUUUAUCCCGCUCUUUAUGAACACGCUUCAUAAAGACGUGUGGAGGACGAGAGGAAAAGGGAGAGAGACUGGAGGAAAAAAGAACUGGAGUUUCUUCUGAGCUAUGAGAAGGCUGCAGGUGGACUGGUGUUUACAUGGUUGGUGGGAACUAUGGAGUCAGUGGAUGACAUCUUGGAAGAAGAGGGAACGUUAUACAAACAAACUGAGAGAACAUCUUUGUGCUGAAGCUCUGAGACGGACAACAUGGCAACGGAAAGAGAGACAGUCAAAUCCACAAUGGCACAGAUUAACGGACACAGAGGGAAAAUAACGAUAGAAAAGCGGAGAAGAUAACAAUCGAUAGUAAGACGAAG